CUACGGGUUGCAGCAGUGAGGAAUUUUGCGCAAUGGGCGAAAGCCUGACGCAGCAACGCCGCGUGAGUGAUGAAGGCCUUCGGGUCGUAAAGCUCUGUCAAGUGGGAAGAACCUAUGUAAUGUUAAUAUCAUUAUAUACUGACGGUACCACUGAAGGAAGCACCGGCUAACUCCGUGCCAGCAGCCGCGGUAAUACGGGGGGUGCAAGCGUUAUUCGGAAUCAUUGGGCGUAAAGGGCACGUAGGCGGCCUGGUAAGUCAGAUGUGAAAGCCCGGGGCUUAACCCCGGAAGUGCAUUUGAUACUGUCAGGCUUGAGUAUGGGAGAGGGAAGUGGAAUUCCUGGUGUAGAGGUGAAAUUCGUAGAUAUCAGGAGGAACACCGGUGGCGAAGGCGACUUCCUGGACCAAUACUGACGCUGAGGUGCGAAGGCGUGGGUAGCAAACAGGAUUAGAUACCCCGGUAGUC
rnacentral:rRNA from 1 species